GAUGAACGCUGGCGGCGUGCUUAACACAUGCAAGUCGAACGGAUAGCGAAAGGUGCUUGUAGCGUCGAGGGGAGAGGCGAACGGGAGAGCAACACGAGGACCACCGGAGUCAGGGAUGGGGCUACCAAAUGGAAAUAGAUACUAAAAACGAAUAAAACUUAGUGUCGGGUGACACAAAGGCAACAGGCGAUUGGGGGUGACCAAGUGAUGGUAGCGAGGUGCAUUAGUUAGUUGGUGGGGUAAAGGCCUACCAAGGCGAGGAUGCGUAGCCGAGUUGAGAGACUGAUCGGCCACAUUGGGACUGAGACACGGCCCAGACUCCUACGGGAGGCAGCAGUGGGGAAUCUUGGACAAUGGGCGAAAGCCUGAUGCAGCAACGCCGCGUGUGUGAAGAAGGCUUUCGGGUCGUAAAGCACUUUUGUAUGGGAAGAACAGCUAUGAGAUGAUAUGACGUGGGUAUGACGGUACCGGACCAAAAAGCAACGGCUAAAUACGUG
rnacentral:rRNA from 1 species